GAUGAACGCUGGCGGCGUGCCUAAUACAUGCAAGUCGAGCGAACAGACGAGGAGCUUGCUCCUUCGACGUUAGCGGCGGACGGGUGAGUAACACGUAGGUAACCUACCUAUAAGACUGGGAUAACUUCGGGAAACCGGAGCUAAUACCGGAUAAUAUUUCGAACCGCAUGGUUCGAUAGUGAAAGAUGGCUUUGCUAUCACUUAUAGAUGGACCUGCGCCGUAUUAGCUAGUUGGUAAGGUAACGGCUUACCAAGGCAACGAUACGUAGCCGACCUGAGAGGGUGAUCGGCCACACUGGAACUGAGACACGGUCCAGACUCCUACGGGAGGCAGCAGUAGGGAAUCUUCCGCAAUGGGCGAAAGCCUGACGGAGCAACGCCGCGUGAGUGAUGAAGGUCUUCGGAUCGUAAAACUCUGUUAUUAGGGGAGAACAAACGUGUAAGUAACUGUGCACGUCUUGACGGUACCUAAUCAGAAAGCCACGGCUAACUACGUG
rnacentral:rRNA from 1 species